UGCCAGCCGCCGCGGUAAUACGGGGGGAGCGAACGUUGCCCGGAAUCAUUGGGCGUAAAGGGUGCGUAGGUGGAUUUGUAAGUCAGAUGUGAAAACUUGCGGCUUAACCGUAAGCCUGCAUUUGAAACUGCAAGUCUUGAGUACGGUAGAGGAGAAUGGAAUUUCUGGUGUAGCGGUGAAACGCGUAGAUAUCAGAAAGAACACCGAUUGCGAAGGCAGUUCUCUGGACCGAUACUGACACUGAUGCACGAAAGCUGGGGGAGCGAACAGGAUUAGAUA
rnacentral:rRNA from 1 species